CAAAGGUCCUAGUGGAUGGGUGGGGUGGGAGGCAGGCGGGGGAAGCUUUUUUCUUCUUAAAGGGGCAGGACUUAUAUCCGGGAUUGUGGGGGCACCUGCCUCCUCCAAGACCUGUUUUUCACAUCUCUUCCUAGAAGCCUGUCUGGAUUCAUCCCUCCAUUGGUUCUGGGCGAGAACCGAAGUUUGGAGGUAGACGAGCAAGCGAACGGUUUGCCCGGGCGCAGAGCAUGAAGGCCGGGCGGGCGCGGGGAGCGGGCGCCCGCCGCCCGGCG